AUUAACCUUUCCUUUUCCUGCAUGAUCUGAUGCUCCAGAAUAGCCCCUUGCUUCUUUUGAGUUUUGGGGAAGAUUGUUUCGUCAAACUAGAAAUCGAUCCACGACGUGAAAAAUCUAUGAUCCUCCUCUAGUUUGUUCAAAUUCCUGGCGCAAAUUCAAAUUCUGCACUGAAUCCGACAUAUUCUUUUUGAUCACUGAAAUCCAUCCCAUCACUUGAGUACAGGGAUUCAUGGAAUUCUACAACGUGGCGAGCAGAUUGCGAAGUGUCUUGUAAUGCAGAGGAUGCAGAUUUUAGUUGCAUUUUAGGAUGGCUAAGCUUCAGUAGUAUGCACCGAAGGGGAGCCCAUCUUUCUUGAUGCUGCCAUCUUUAUUUCUUAGAUGAUAAUAAUGUUACUACACAACUUUCAAGCUGAAGAACCAAUGAUCUGAUGACACUACCCUCCUCCCUUUGUCCGGGCUUGGGACCGGCUGUGUAGAAGAAAUGAUGCUUAAUGCACGACACAGGCAGAGUUAUCAUGCCAUUGUUAACACAAGUAUCAGAGACUUUACUUGAAUGAUAGAACAAAGGCUAUCAAGGAGAAGGCACAUGGCAGCCAAGAGAUCCAAGAGAAAAUCUGAUGAGUUAGAAGAAAGCUUGCUAUGAUCCACACACCCAUUGCAGCGAUAAGAGCACUGAGCUUUCCAAACAAAAGUGCAAUUCUCGGGAAUGCAUUUUGAAGGAAAACUCCAGCAAAUGAAACUACGAAGCUUAUCAACACAGCAGCACCAAAGAGAUGUGUCAAAAGUGGAGGAUAUGAAGUGGGUGAACUGAUGAACAAGGCCAAAACUGCCUGAAAAGUAAGGCCAAGAACUAUAUUCCCAAGAUUAGUCUGAGGGCUGUUGGGUGGUGGAGAGUUCUUCAUUCUGAUGCAAAUUGGAAGGCCAGCCGAUGCUGUGGAGGUUCCCCAGUUCCUUUUUAUUGGAGAAUGCAAUGUUCUAGAAUUCAUGAGAAGGUUCGGUGAUUCUAGUACAAGUUAUAGAGCAGAAAUUUCUUGGAAGUUAUGAAGGUGAGUUCUUUUGGCAUAAGAGUCUCUUUGUUUAUCAUAACAUGAUCUGCUUUGCUUUCUUGGUAAUUUCUUCUCCUUUGAAUGGAGGAAGGAAAAAGAUGAACACUUUAGAGCUUUUAAAAGCUACGGUUGGAUUCUUGACUUGAAUUUUUUUUUUUUCAUGUUUGCAAAAAUAAUAAUUUCUUUUCAUCAAAAAAGUUGAUGGGUCGUGUUAAAUACUAUUAUUUUAGUCUCCACACUUUCAAAACGUUCCUUUCAAUUUUUAUAUCUUUAAAACGUUCAUUUUAGUUUCUGUACUUUCAACAAGUGUCAUUCUAAUUUUUAAUUGUAAAAAAAUUUACCGAGCUUUUCACCCGAGCAGUGUUAAGCAAAGCAAAAUGUAGUAGUAUUUUACAGAGUAUUUUGUAAUAUCACCUCCAUGGGUGUUAAAAAAAACUGCAAAUCUUGAAAAAAGAAUGCGAAUAUUUCCCGAUAUUCAGCUGUUUGUUUUUUAUUUUUUAUUUUUACAAAAUGUUACUGUUGUCAUAUAAAUUAAAUGAUUAUGAAUAAAUAUUAUAUGCUUUUUAUGUGUCGUUUAUAUUAUAUAAAUGAAGAUGGGUCAACUCUGAGAAAAUAUAGGAACCCCUUAGAUCUGUA